GAAUAAUAGGAUAUAUUCACAGCUUAACAUUAGAAAACUGCAGAGAAGAGUUGCAUGGCCUCAGCACAAGAAUGACAUGCUACUUUAUAAAGAAUUCAAAAUCUUA